rnacentral:rRNA from 1 species
AUUGAACGCUGGCGGCAGGCCUAACACAUGCAAGUCGAACGAGUGGCGGACGGGUGAGUAAUGUCUGGGAAACUGCCUGAUGGAGGGGGAUAACUACUGGAAACGGUAGCUAAUACCGCAUACCAUCAGAUGUGCCCCGAUGGGCUUAGCUAGUAGGUGGGGUAAUGGCUAACCUAGGCGACGAUCCCUAGCUGGUCGGAGAGGAUGACCGGCCACACGGGAACUGAGAAACGUGCAGGACUCCGACGGGAGCCAGCAGUGGGGAAUAUUGAACAAGGGGCGAAAGCCUAAUGCAGCCAGGCCGCGUGGUUGAAGAAGGCCUUCGGGUUGUAAAGCACGUUCAGCGGGGAGGCGUUACCCGCAGAAGAAGCACCGGCUAACUCCGUGCCAGCAGCCGCGGUAAUAC